rnacentral:rRNA from 1 species
GAUGAACGCUGGCGGCGUGCCUAAUACAUGCAAGUCGAGCGAACAGACGAGGAGCUUGCUCUUUUGACGUUAGCGGCGAACGGGUGAGUAACACGUAGGUAACCUACCUAUAAGCCUGGGAUAACUUCGGGAAACCGGAGCUAAUACCGGAUAAUAUUUCGAACUGCAUGGUUCCAAAGUAAAAGAUGGUUUUGCUCUCACAUAUAGAUGGACCUGCUCGGUAUUACCUAGUUGUGAAGGAAACGGCUAACCAAGGCAACGAUACGUAGCCGACCGGAAAGGGUGAUCGUCCAAACUGGAACGAGAACACGGUCAAGAUCCCUACGGGAGGCGGCAGUAGGGAAUCUUCGGCAAUGGGCGAAGGCCUAACGGGGCAACGCCGCGUGAGUGAUGAAGGUUUUCGGAUCGUAAAACUCGUUUAUUAGGGAAGAACAAACGUGGAAGUAACUGUUCACGUCUUGACGGUACCUAAUCAGAAAGCCACGGCUAACUACGUG